GUUUUUAAAGCGUGGAAUAGAAGCGAAUGGUGUAGUUUAUGUUACUAUGGCAACUGAGGGGAACCCACCCUAUAACAGAAGGCAGCUGUCUGCAAGUCUGGGAAAUACUGUAAAGUGACGAGAUUGACGACGCGCCUGUUGACGACUCUUCGUUAAAGGUUUUGGUACCAAAUAACAGCGGCACUUUGAAACGAGUUAAAUGAGCAGUUGUCCACACGUCUCUCCUGCUGAUGAACUUCGCUUUAAAAAACUUGAUAAAUCUGAUUCACUGUCCUUAUCUUCCUUGACCAAGAGAAGUGAUAUCCUUUCUGGGGAUGGAGGCCUUUCAGCAGAGCACCACUGUAGCAGUGUAGAUGGCAAGGAACCUUAUAUUGGAGACAAGAUGGACUUCUUAAAGAAUGCUGAUGUCCGAGAUGACAGCAAUGGCGUACGAAACAGAACAGAUGUGACUUCAGAGCCCACCUCAAGAGGAUUAGAUGAAUACUUAUCAAGGUUUGAUGAGGCCAUGAAACUUCGGAACCAGUUAAAUAGUGAGAAGCCAAGUGCAGACAAUGGGAAUGGAGUAGAUGAGUUGGAUUCUUUCCGCAUAUUCAGACUAGUGGGCAGUGCGCUCCUUGCUUUUGCUGUCCGGAUGUUUGUGUGCAAGUACUUGGUCCAGUUCAAAAUCCAUUGAUUUAUUCUCCACCAUUGGCCAGCCAAGGAUACCACUCUCUUCUCCCAGGCUCUUAUCCUCAGCAAAUGCCAGCAAAGGCUGCUCAGCAUCCAGGCCAUGGACAGCAAAACUCUAGUGUUCCUCAGAUGGUACCACAGUUAGGUGGUCUUCAGACUGUGCAUCAGUUAAGUGGUCCUCAGAAUUUUCCUCAGUUACCAAAUUAUCCUGUUUCUGGGCAGACCAUUAAUAUACCACCAAUGGGACAUACGCCGAUGACGUCUCCACAACAUACAGGUGCCAGAUCAAGGAUGCCACCUCCACCUCAGAACAGUGCUGGUGAACCAGCGACAGCUGUCAGUAAUGCUUCUCAAGGAAAUGUUCCUCCGCAGUCAAAUUGGCAGUAUUUCCCAACACCCUUAAGCCAUGCCCAGCCCCAGCCUUUUGCAAAUCACAUUUACUCCUCAGCAGGACCUACAUCAGGACAACCAUCUUCACAAUCAAAUUCCGUUCCACCAACUACACAUCAGUAUGCGGCUUCUUUCGGAGGACCUCCUCUUCAGAACAGUUUCAUGAAUCAAGGACCUCCCCCAAUGAGUCAGCCUGGACAACCAACCCUGGGAGCUCAUCCAACUUCAUCUCCUUCAAGAUCCUUGGCUCCUCCCCCCGGGCCUCCAGGGGCCACUUUACCUCCUCCACCUUUGCAAAGUGCACCACCUAAGCCUGAUGGUUUUCUAACCCUCUGGCCCCUAAAGGCCAUGAAGUGGAAGACAUUUGUUUGUAUCAGCACUCACCUUUAAACUGCCUGCUGCUGUGGGAUCUGCGUCGAGACACGCCCGUUAUGGAGAUGAAGAACCAUGAAGAGUACAUCAGCGACAUGGCCAUUGAUGAGAACAAAAAGAUGCUGCUAACUGCCAGUACAAGAUCCUGUUUGGACCUCAGCUUUACUAAACUUCAACUUAUUGCCUGCCCUGCUACAACUGCUGACCCAUUCAAAAGAUGUCUUCCUGAUGGUUGCCACAGUUUUGCAUAACAUUGCAGAUCUGGGGUCGGCUUAUUGUCAGCAACUGAGGGAGAAAGGAAUUCUACUGUGUUUAACCCCAGCUCUGCGUGAUGACGACAUACAAGUGGCAAGGCUAAGCCUAGAAUUACUGAAUACGCUUUUCACAUACUGUCCAGAUGUUGCUGGAGACUUUUUCCACAACUCCGGUCUGCAGAUCAUUGAGUUACAUAAGGAUAAGCCUGAUCAUAAGCAGCAAGUUCAAGCAGUCUGGAACAAAUAUCAAGAACUGAUAACAGUAACCUGUGGACCCCCCAGUAUGGACUAAACGACAAAUCGACAACUGACAUUUUAGCAUUGCUUUCCUAAUAAAAUAAGAAUGAAUUGCACUUUUUUUUUUUUUUUUUACUUUAUUUUGAUAUAUGGUGUUAAAUGGGGAAUAUAAUUUAAUGUCCAUGGAAGGUGGCAGCUUUUCCUUGUUGUAUCUGCGAAUAUCUUGUCCAUAACGAAUAGGGUCUCACUUCAUGGUUUACGGGUAACUACAGACUCCAGAGCCCUGGCAACUUGGUCGACGUUGAGGUUAUUUAAUGAGACAUUUGUCUCUUUCCCAAAGUCUGAAGGAGAAAGAGAGAAGAAAAUCAACAUAAACUUUAAUAUUUAUUUAUGGCAGAGUGGCUGAGAUUCCAUACAGUUAUGUAUUCAUUCAAUGGCUUUUCUUCCUCUGCCAGGCUUUAUAAUCUCAGCUCCUGAUAUAUAUAUGUAGUAAAUGAGUAAAUUUAAGGAAAAACUAAAUUUGACAAAGUCUGGGGCCCUUGGUGUGAUCUAGAGGGUAACUGAACAAUCCUGUUCCCAGUUACAUAAUAAGCCCCCCAACGUCCUCCCAACCUGUUCUCCCAUACCCUGAGUACAUAAGCUCAGUAGGGGGAUGGAUCCAAGAUGUGGGAAUUACUACCAGUUACACACUCUGUAAUGCUAUACCUACCCACUCUGUAUUGGUAACAAAUCCUAAAGGUAGACCUGGAAAAGAAAGACUAAUGCGUCUUCCUCAUUGCAUUGUUAAAUGUGAUAUUUUGUCUUUUGUUUGUAUGAAAAGUUAAUAAAAUACACCUUUGAAAAAAAAA